GCACCAUAGUUUGUUUACAUGUACAACAUUCCUUGAUGCUGCCACAGAAAGACGUGUUUUAUGCCACUCCUUCUUGGUCUCUAUUUGUCCAUCAAAUGUUUUAUGAUGUGCGUGAAUCCACAAAGGGGAGAUACAGAUCAGCAGGUACCAGGAGACAUUGCCCCUUUUAGCUGGUUGCCCCUAACAACCACAGUGCUCAAUCCAACGGCACGGGAAAUUGGACGCACCUGUGGAGCCUUAGGACUGCACAUUUAAAAGGAGCGACAGGAAAAGGAAGAAAGAGGUUUCGAGAGCAGGGUCGACAGAGGGAAACGACAGGCUUUGCCAGGAGGAGAGGGGACGGCAGGAUUCGGCAGGUUUUAGCCGGGACGGGGAAGAAUCGACAGGCUUUGCCAAGAGCGACCGGGUGGACGCAGGCUACCGGAACGAACCCCAAGACGUCCACAACAGGCAGGGGCAGAGGAAACUCUGCCGCCCAACUGGCUGUGUGGUACUGUGGACAGUGGGGCGAUUUGGACCCAGGGACCUGCGGCCACCCCCGGGAGCGACCAGGAGGCGGAGCGGGACGGUUAUGGACAAGUAGGUCCCGCGAGUGACCGGAGACUGGCGAGGAGAGUGUGGGUACCCAAUACGUUGACGCGGAACUACAGCAAAGGCAGGGGAAACCCUGCCUUGCACGUAAGUGUGACGUCAGCCCGGAUAGCGUCUCCGUGGUUUUAGUUGAUUUUAUCCCUGUGGCCUGCCUCCCUUUUAUUUUUUGUGCAGGAUGCCGUGGAAGUGGGCGGAGCAGGGAUACGUACCCACACGCCUGUCGUGACUGUACCCUUGCCCAUCACAUUUGUCAUAUUUGGUAUUUUAGUGUCAACAACGUGACUGGUUUUUAAUUGUAUUUUAAUAAAUUGUGAACCA